rnacentral:tmRNA from 1 species
AAUGGACAAUGAAAUAAACCCAUUGGACCCGGGGGCGGUACCCGGCGCCUCCACCAAAAUAUAAUGAAUAAGAAUUAUAUUUUGGUGGGGGCGAAAUAGGAUCGACAAGGGCGUAAAGAUUGCUCUUUUACUCGGCAUUGUACCACCGUUAUCGGGCUAAAUGAGUAGUUGCAAAUGACAACUAUGCGGAAGCUCGUCUCGCCGCUUAAAGUGGUGCGAAAGCUUCAAAUUAACUCUUAAACCGUCGCAGGUUUAAGCGGGGUUCGG